UUCCGGUUGAUCCUGCCGGAGGUUACUGCUAUCGGUGUUCGACUAAGCCAUGCGAGUCAAAUGUUCUUCGUGAACAUGGCGGACUGCUCAGUAACACGUGGAUAACCUGCCCUUAGGUUCGGCAUAACUCCGGGAAACUGGAGAUAAUUCCGAAUAGGUCAAAUAUGCUGGAAUGCUUUUUGGCCAAAAGACUUCGGUUGCCUAAGGAUGGAUCUGCGGUCUAUCAGGUUGUAGUGGGUGUAACGUACCUACUAGCCUACGACGGAUAUGGGUUGUGAGAGCAAGAGCCCAGAGAUGAAUUCUGAGACAUGAAUCCAGGCCCUACGGGGCGCAGCAGGCGCGAAAACUUUACAAUGCGGGAAACCGCGAUAAGGGGACACCGAGUGCCAGCAUUUAUGUUGGCUGUCCACAUGUGUAUACGGCAUGUGUUAGCAAGGGCCGGGCAAGACCGGUGCCAGCCGCCGCGGUAACACCGGCGGCCCGAGUGGUAAUCACUUUUAUUGGGUCUAAAGGGUCCGUAGCCGGUUUGAUCAGUUCUUCGGGAAAUCUGACAGCUCAACCGUUAGGCUUCCGGGGAAUACUGUCAGACUUGGGACCGGGAGAGGUAAGAGGUACUACAGGGGUAGGA
rnacentral:rRNA from 1 species